rnacentral:rRNA from 1 species
GAUGAACGCUGGCGGCGUGCCUAAUACAUGCAAGUCGAGCGAACAGACGAGGAUCUUGCUCCUCUUACGUUAGCGGCGGACGGGUGAGUAACACGUGGCUAACCUACCUAUAAGACUGGGAUAACUUCGGGAAACCGGAUCUAAUACCGGAUAAUAUAUUGAACCGCAUGGUUCAAUAGUGCAAGCCGGUUUUGCUGUCACUUAUUGAUGUAUCCGCGCCGCAUUAGCUAGUUGGUAAGGUAACGGCUUACCAAGGCGACGAUGCGUAGCCGACCUGAGAGGGUGAUCGGCCACACUGGAACUGAGACACGGUCCAGACUCCUACGGGAGGCAGCAGUAGGGAAUAUUCCGCAAUGGGCGAAAGCCUGACGGAGCAACGCCGCGUGAGUGAUGAAGGUCUUCGGAUCGUAAAACUCUGUUAUUAGGGAAGAACAAAUGUGUAAGUAACUAUGCACGUCUUGACGGUACCUAAUCAGAAAGCCACGGCUAACUACGUG